rnacentral:lncRNA from 1 species
CAUAUAUCCAAAUUAUUACAAAUAAGCUAAGUUACAAUAUUUAUAUUUUUCUGUGUUUCGUUUCAAUCAGACAUUUAACAAAAUUGAUAAAUGGUUUCAUUUGUGUAGUGCAAAUUCUAAAGGGGCACAUAAUUUAAAGUAUAAGCAUAUUUUAAUGCUGAAAAGAUAAGAAUGGCUAAAAGAAUUACAGAACAAAGAAAGAAAUGCAACCCCCCCUCCUUUACCCCUCGUUGCUCC